GGGCUUCUAGUGACUGCAUCUUUUGCCAACAUGCGCGGCUUCCAGGAAUCUAGAAAAAAGAAAGAGCUGCGGCUGAUGAAAAACCGGAAAGCCGCCAGAGAGUAUCGACGCCGCAAGAAGGAUUAUGUGAGAGGCCUGGAGCAUCGCAUGGCCACACUGGAAGCGGAGAAUGAUAAGCUGUUGGCGGAGUUGUCGCAGUACCUUAUGGCAUAUCCUCCAGUCGUUUAGUGUCACGACGACCAGCACCUGAGACGAUGGACCAGCUCUCACCAUCCAGCUGUCAAGCUGUCAGUCUCACGUUCCUUUACACGAUACACACCCUUCCCAACCUUACACUCCCUACACACAACAUUACAUUACGUGCUGGCGUUUAUUGUUCGGAAAAUAAAUUGAUUAUAUAUAUAUAUACGAGAAAAAAA